UUGCCGACGGUGGCGGCGGGCCAGAUCCGGUGCCUAGCUGGGCGAUUGCGCCUGGUGGAGGUCCAGAUCCAUCCAUGACCGUCUUGUCGCCGGCGUUCUGGCUGCCCCGGCGGACCUCCUCUGUCCGAAGCUGAGACCUUGUGCGGGCAAGUUUUCCAAGAAGUCAGAUAUUUGGAUUUUGGAGUGAAAUGCAAUUUUUGGUCUGCAUAUGAUGGAUAGAUCAAAGCUCGUCGACUAGUACUACGUUCGUCCUCCGCUGUUUUGUUGCUGCAUCUCGAACUGAAAAUGGAAGGAAGUAGUGGAACGUCGCCUUUAGGAGAGCCCACCGUUCCAGUAAUCCCAAACUGUGUACCAACACUAUCAGUUGUGGAAUCGGCCAAUAGUGGUUUGUAGUUCUUGCUUUUGAAGACUACCUGUUCUUUUUGUCUUGCUAUUACUAAAUAAAUAGAAUAGAGUGUUACAUUUACAAAGCAUGUAAGAAAAAUCAUCACCGAUGUUGAAGUGCCGACGUCGCAACAUCUCUAUCUUGUGUUCAAGCGAUCGACUAGAAGCCAGGGACAAGAGGCUCGAGAUGGAUCAGUUCCAUAGAUUCCUUUAGUUGCUGAAAUUCGUCACUUGCCUCCAUCAACAGAGGUAGAUGAAAGUUAUGUGAGAGCAUAUCAUCAUGUGAAACAAAUUGCGCAACUGAAGAAUCUUCAUCUUUUCAAAAGAAAAAUAACCAUUUUGUGGUUCACUCGUUAUAGGUAAUAUUGUUCUUCUCGAACUUAUGACUGCUCCUCAGUGAUUAAACUGUCCAGUGGCUUUCUCUGUCUAGCAUAUACGCAUUUAGGUCGGGCUUUGCAAUGAAUUUGUCUCUAAUUUUCCUUCCAUGUGGUUUGUGCAUCAAACAAUCAAAUGGUAUUGUUGAUGCAUAUUCAUUUCAUUAGAUAACAAUGAUUAAAAAACCGACGUCGAGGCGGUGAGGCGGUGAAGGCAAAACCGACGGGCAGCCACCAGUUUGACUCCUCCUCGGAGGUGUGGUGUAAGUUAUCCAUCCAUUUUCCGUACUCUCUCUUUUCCACGAUUUGAAUUCUGGGCUUAGGCUUCUACGGUUAGGGUUUAACCCUUCGACGCAACAGUG